GACGAACGCUGGCGGCGUGCUUAACACAUGCAAGUCGAACGAAGAGCGAUGGUCGCUUGCUUCUAUCACUCUUAGUGGCGAACGGGUGAGUAACGCGUAAUCAACCUGCCCUUCAGAGGGGGACCACAGUUGGAAACGACUGCUAAUACCGCAUACGAUCUAAUCUCGGCAUCGAGGAUAGAUGAAAGGUGGCGUCUAACUGUAAGCUAUCACUGAAGGAGGGGAUUGCGUCUGAUUAGCUAGUUGGAGGGGUAACGGCCCACCAAGGCGAUGAUCAGUAGCCGGUCUGAGAGGAUGAACGGCCACAUUGGGACUGAGACACGGCCCAGACUCCUACGGGAGGCAGCAGUGGGGAAUCUUCCGCAAUGGACGAAAGUCUGACGGAGCAACGCCGCGUGAGUGAUGACGGCCUUCGGGUUGUAAAGCUCGGUUAAUCGGGACGAAAGGCCUUCUUGCGAAUAGUGAGAAGGAUUGACGGUACCGGAAUAGAAAGCCACGGCUAACUACGUG
rnacentral:rRNA from 1 species